rnacentral:rRNA from 1 species
ACGGAGGAUCCGAGCGUUAUCCGGAUUUACUGGGUUUAAAGGGUGCGUAGGCGGGCCCCUCAGUCAGCGGUGAAAGUCUGCGGCUCAACCGUAGGAUUGCCGUUGAUACUGGGGGCCUUGGAUUCGGUCGAGGCGGGCGGAAUGCGUGGUGUAGCGGUGAAAGGCUUGGUAACCACGCAGAACGCCGAUUGCGAAGGCAGCUCGCCUGGCCGCUAUCUACGCUGAGGCACGAAAGCGUGGGGAUCGAACAG